UACGAAGGGGGGCUAGCGUUGCUCGGAAUUACUGGGCGUAAAGCGCACGUAGGCGGCUUUGCAAGUUAGAGGUGAAAGCCCGGGGCUCAACUCCGGAAUUGCCUUUAAAACUGCAUCGCUAGAAUUGUGGAGAGGUAAGUGGAAUUCCGAGUGUAGAGGUGAAAUUCGUAGAUAUUCGGAAGAACACCAGUGGCGAAGGCGACUUACUGGACACAUAUUGACGCUGAGGUGCGAAAGCGUGGGGAGCAAACAGG
rnacentral:rRNA from 1 species